rnacentral:rRNA from 1 species
UACGAAGGGGGCUAGCGUUGCUCGGAAUCACUGGGCGUAAAGGGUGCGUAGGCGGGUCUUAAGUCAGGGGUGAAAUCCUGGGGCUCAACCCCAGAACUGCCUUCGAUACUGGCGAUCUAGAGUCCGGAAGAGGUGAGUGGAACUCCUAGUGUAGAGGUGGAAUUCGUAGAUAUUAGGAAGAACACCAGUGGCGAAGGCGGCUCACUGGUCCGGUACUGACGCUGAGGUGCGAAAGCGUGGGGAGCAAACAGG